CUCUAGAUGUUGCUGAACUGCAACUCCCAUGAUUCUCAGCCUAUAUUUCAUUCAUAGUAUCAUGGGAGUUGUAGUUCAGCAACAUCUGGAG
rnacentral:miRNA from 1 species